rnacentral:rRNA from 1 species
AUUGAACGCUGGCGGAAUGCUUUACACAUGCAAGUCGAACGGCAGCACGGACUUCGGUCUGGUGGCGAGUGGCGAACGGGUGAGUAAUGUAUCGGAACGUGCCCAGUCGUGGGGGAUAACGUAGUGAAAAUUACGCUAAUACCGCAUACGAUCUACGGAUGAAAGCGGGGGAGCGCAAGACCUCGCGCGAUUGGCGCGGCCGAUAUCAGAUUAGUUAGUUGGUGGGGUAAAGGCCCACCAAGCCAACGAUCUGUAGCUGGUCUGAGAGGACGACCAGCCACACUGGAACUGAGACACGGUCCAGACUCCUACGGGAGGCAGCAGUGGGGAAUUUUGGACAAUGGGCGAAAGCCUGAUCCAGCCAUUCCGCGUGCAGGAUGAAGGCCCUCGGGUUGUAAACUGCUUUUGUACAGAACGAAAAGGUUUCUACUAAUACUAGGAGCUCAUGACGGUACUGUAAGAAUAAGCACCGGCUAACUACGUGCCAGCCGCCGCCGUAA